GAGAAGGCCGAUGGCAUCCUGACUGGAAUCAGGCACAGCGCAGCCAGCGGGAGCGGGGAGGUCGCUGUCCCCCUGUCCUCAGCUCUGGUGAGGCUGUGCCUCGGGUGCUGUGUUCAGUGCUGGGCUCCUCACUACAAGAAAGGCGUUGAGGCCCCGGAGUGUGUCCAGAGAAGGGCAGUAAAGCUGUGAGGGGUCUGGAGCACAAAUCUCAUGGGGAAAAGCUGAAGGAGCUGCGAUGGUUCAGUCUGCGGGAGACUCUGGGGAGACCUUAUUGUGCUCUACAGCUGCCUGAAAGAAGCUUGUGGCCAGCUGGGGGUCGGCCUCUUCUCCCAGGUAUUUGCCACUGCUGUCUGUCAGGUGGAACACAAGGAUUUUCAGCUCCUCUAAAACAGCUCCUCCUUGGCUAUUUCCAAGUAGAGAGUGAAGGCGUCUGCCAGUCUCCCACACGAGGCCGCGUUGCAGUUUCUGUGUCAGGAAGGUUUCUAUGUUCAUCUGCCAGUUCCAGCCCUUUCGAUAGGCGUGGAGGAGCUCUUGCUGCGCCGUGUGUGAAGGCGUGGCUACACCGAAGCAGGAGAGCAGGGUGAAGGGAAGGGGUGGCUGCGUCACCUGAACCCGGCCACCAGAGGAUCCAGCCCACGGGGCGCUCGCUCGCAGCUCACCUAGCGGGUCAUCGGCUGCAGCACAUCCCCAGGAAAGCCCCACGAGAUGUGGCAGGGGUGGAUACGAAAUAUGAACCGAAUCCAUUUGCAGGUUUGAUUUGCAGCCUGAGCACGGCCCCGACUGUUCCACCUCUCACACCGAGGGACAAACCAAGCUACAAGCACACGAAACGCCACGAGUGAAAACCCCCAAGACGUGUUUCCCUCUUUGCAGUGCCAACCGUUCCUCCUUACGCGGCGUUUGGACACACCCACAGUGCCCCACCGAACAGCCAGAAAGAAGGCGGAAGGUUCAGACCCCACCCCGAGUAUGGUCCCCUCCACCUGGUGAAGCCCAGCGGGGCUUUCCAGUGCUGCAGGCAGGAAUGCACCCCCUGACUGCUGUCCUGUGAGCAUACAGUCAGCAAGAAGGCUCAGGGAUGGAGCUGAGCAAGCAGAGUUGGCCAAAGGGGAGAGAGCCACUCCUACUGCUGUUAGCACUGAUUUUCUUGUUAUAGCAGCACAAAUAACAGUGACAAAAAUGAUCAUUACUGUGUUGUAGGCAUUUUUUUCUCACCGCAAUACUGUUUCCCUUCUAAGACAUGUAAUGAUCCCCCCCACAGCAGCUGCAGACCCGAUUGCUGCAAUGUGGACAUUGCUCAGGUGCAGCCUACCUGGCCAGGCAGUCCUUUUCCCCGUUGGAUUUGCAGGGCAGGGAGUGUUGAGUUGCCAAUAUGCAAAAUCUUCAAAGACAGGAGAGGGAAAUGUCAAUAUGUUGAGGGCUUUCUGUCCCCGCUCUGCAAUUAAGAGGGAGGGCAGCCGAGGGCUUCUCUGCGUGCAGACUCCACGAGCAAUUGGAAUGAAUGAAACGCACGCAUUGAAAGUGUGUUAUUUCGGCUGGGUGAGCUCCUCUGCAAACAGGCAAACGUGUGCGUAACGUGGGCUGGCUUUACUUUCUGCCAGGCACCAAUUAAGAGUACGCUAUCAGAGUGUCCGUGAAGGGGUUCCAAGAGCCCCUGCCCCCCUCCCACAGCAGCACGGAUGGGUUGGGCUGCUUAUCCCUCAAUCUGACGCCGCUAAGACCUGAAUGAUGAGAAAAAAGAACACCCAGGCGGAAAGCCGCCUACUCUCUCGAGAGCAGCAGAAAGCAGCGCUCUUCCAAACGUCCCCUUCCCUUCCCAGGGCUCUCUGUAAAACAGUUACUUCUGAUUUUAAUUUGCCUGUGCUCUUCCUGCUUUGUGGUGAGGGCAGGCAGGGCAGGUGCCGCUGUGAGCGCUGCCGGUUUUACAGCCACCGGUGCUCGGUUACAGGUUGGCCAGAGAGCCCUGCUGAGCUCCAGGUAACCUGCGGCGUGGGCUGGGCCGCCGUGUCUCCCUGCUUUGCCCAGGGCAUGGCUCGUCUGCUCCCUACCCCACUGAUUGCAGCGCUGGGGGGCUUUGGGGUGCCAGAGAGGGCGCCUGGAUAGGGAGCUCCCCCCGGCUCCUGGUGGUGCAGGGAAGGGCAGGUGAAAUGCAGGUCGAGGCCAAAGUCUAGCAGUGAGGCAGCAGGAGGAGGAUGUGAAAACAGCACUUUAUAUUUAUAUUGGUGGCAAUUUCACAGACCCUUGUCCGCAGACGGAGCGAGGCAGGCAGCACUGCUGGGAGGCUGCUGUGGGCAGGGAUGAUGAAAGGCAUGGGUUUUUUUUAAACUAUUUUGUAUUUUUGGUCUGGGAAACUGUAAAAGGCAUUGGUGACAAAAGCCCCGGUGCAAAAAGGCGAAAAAAAGAAAGAAAGAAAAACGUUGGCAAAGUAAUCCUGAAAGAAAUCACCCCAGAGCUUGCAUGACAAAGGUGGCCCUGCUGGAAAAAGAUCCCGUCCCCAUCUGAGGCACCCUCGGCUCUGUGAUUCCCA